rnacentral:rRNA from 1 species
GAUGAACGCUGGCGGCGUGCCUAAUACAUGCAAGUCGAGCGAACGGACGAGAAGCUUGCUUCUCUGAUGUUAGCGGCGGACGGGUGAGUAACACGUGGAUAACCUACCUAUAAGACUGGGAUAACUUCGGGAAACCGGAGCUAAUACCGGAUAAUAUUUUGAACCGCAUGGUUCAAAAGUGAAAGACGGUCUUGCUGUCACUUAUAGAUGGAUCCGCGCUGCAUUAGCUAGUUGGUAAGGUAACGGCUUACCAAGGCAACGAUGCAUAGCCGACCUGAGAGGGGGGGCGGCCAGACGAGAACUGAGAAACGGUACAGACUCAGACGGGAGGCAGCAGUAGGGAAUCGUCCGGAAUGGGCGAAAGCCGGAAGGAGGAACGCAGCGUGAGUGAUGAAGGUCUUAGGAUCGUAAAACUCUGUUAUUAGGGAAGAAAAAAUGGGUAAGUAACUGUGCACAGCUGGAAGGGACCUAAUCAGAAAGACAAGGAUAAGUAAGUG